CAUCCCCUACCUCCAGCGUGUUCCUCACGGACACCUAAUCCCGAUCCAAUCCGUGGAUGAUUCACUCAAAUCUAUAGUGCCGUCUCCAAGUUGACCCAUAUAUAUAUAUGCCCGUGUGCUCCUCGUCCGAUUUUUGGAAAAAUCAAAAGAUCCCGUGCCCGUUUCGCCUCGCCCGGAUCUCGCCGGAGUUCCACCGCUGCUGACCUCCGCCGUCAUCGUUUCCGUCGCCUACAGAGGGGGAGGAGUACCGGACCGAGCGCAAGGACCUCGAUCCGAAGAUCACAGCCACCGCCCGAGUUCUAGCACCGCCGAGCGUAGCUGCGAUAGGAGCAUCCCCCGCUCUACACCGACAGCACCAUCGUCCUCGGAGCUUCGCGGCUCACACGCCUCUAUACUUCUCCGUCGCCUAGUACCGCCGGAGCCGCCGCACCGUCCACACCCGCAGCGACCGUACCGGUCUUCCCCCAACUCCGGCCGACGUGUUCUGCUCUUUUCGAUUGUCUUGAGUGUGAAGCGGAUCAGGACUAAGCGUUAGAGUACUUCAACACCAUUCAAGGCAAG